AUGCAAGUCGAACGUGAUCCAUCCUUCGGGGUGGUGAAAGUGGCGCACGGGUGAGUAACGCGUGGAUAAUCUGCCCGAGGAUUUGGGAUAACAUCUCGAAAGGGGUGCUAAUACCGAAUAAGCCCACGGGGUCUACGGAUCUUGCGGGAAAAGGGGGGGACCUUCGGGCCUCCUGUCUUCGGAUGAGUCCGCGUACCAUUAGCUAGUUGGUAGGGUAAUGGCCUACCAAGGCGACGAUGGUUAGCUGGUCUGAGAGGAUGAUCAGCCACACUGGAACUGAGACACGGUCCAGACUCCUACGGGAGGCAGCAGUGGGGAAUUUUGCGCAAUGGGGGAAACCCUGACGCAGCAACGCCGCGUGGGUGAUGAAGGCCUUCGGGUCGUAAAGCCCUGUCGGGAGGGAAGAAAUGAUUGUGAGCUAAUACCCGCGAUACUUGACGGUACCCCUAAAGGAAGCACCGGCUAACUCCGUGCCAGCAGCCGCGGUAAUACGGAGGGUGCGAGCGUUGUUCGGAAUUAUUGGGCGUAAAGCGCGUGUAGGCGGUUUGUUAAGUCUGAUGUGAAAGCCCCGGGCUCAACCUGGGAAGUGCAUUGGAUACUGGCAGACUUGAAUACGGGAGAGGGCAGUGGAAUUCCUGGUGUAGGAGUGAAAUCCGUAGAUAUCAGGAGGAACACCGGUGGCGAAGGCGGCUGCCUGGACCGAUAUUGACGCUGAGACGCGAAGGUGUGG
rnacentral:rRNA from 1 species